AAACUGAGUAAAUAAAUUAAUAUUUAAACAAAACACUAUACAUGGUAUUGACUUUACACGAGAUUAAUUAUGGACGGAAAGCAGAUUACUACAUCCGCCUAAAUCAAUACGAAUUGAUCACAAAAAAUUUGGGUUUGCCUCCACAGCACCCAUUUACUAUAAAUAAGCAACCUCAUAACAAAUCUUUCUCCAUAUAUACAUUUCAAAACACAACAGAGCUAAAAAUGGAAAGUGGGUCUAUAUUUUUAGAUUUGGAAGAAGUUCAGAAUGGUGAGCACUUCAACACUUCAAUGUCAUCAUCUGGUGUGGCCACUGUAAAAAGGAAAAGGUUGACAAAUUUAGAAAAAAGAGAUAUUGUGCACAGGCUAUCACUAAACUUUAGCAAUGACAAACUCGAGAGAGGAUCAGUUAACACAUUUGACACUGAUUUUGGAGUCAGCAGAAUAACCAUUUACACAAUAUGAAAAGAUGUUCAACAAGAAAUUAAAGAUGGAAAGAUGGAGUUACCCAGUGUUGACAGAAAAUAUAAAGGUGGCAACAUGACAUAUGUUUUCGAUUUAGAAAAGGUCAGAUCCAUUCCUUUGCAUCUAAGAACUAAUAUUAUGAUACUAGCUUGCGAACUAAAGGUAGGUAAAUCUACUAUGCAUAGAAUGAUCCAAAAAGGUAGUAUUAAAUCUCAUUCAAAUGCUUUGAAGCCUUAUUUGAUACCUACAAACAUGGAAGCUAGGGUGACAUUUUGUUUAAAAGAUAUUGAAAGCUCUACACUUCGUACAAACCGAACGUAUAUAGGAAUGUUUUCUAUAGUUCAUAUAGAUGAGAAGUGGUUUUAUAUGACUAGAAUUUCACAAAAGGACUACCUAUUGCCAAGUGAACCGGAACCACAUAGAAUUUCUAAGUCCAAAAGAUUUAUAACCAAGGUUAUGUUUAUUAGUGCAGUGGCUAGGCCUAGGUUUGACAACGAUGGAAAUUGUAUUUUUGAUGGAAAAAUAGGCAUAUUCCCAUUCACUAAAGAAGAAGUAGCUGUUAGAACAAGUAAGAACCGAGCAAACGGUGUUAUGGAACUCAAACCUAUAGAAAAUAUCACCAAAGUUGUGGUUAAACAAUGUUUAGUAGAAAAAAUCCUCCCGGCUAUUAAAGCCAAAUGGCCACAAGACAACAAAAAACAUAUCGUUAUACAACAAGAUAAUGUUAGGCCUCAUAUAAGUGGUGACGAUAUAGAGUUCGUGGAAGUUGCAGAAUCUGAUGGGUUUAACAUAACAUUGGCUAAUCAACCGGCCAAUAGUCCAGAUUUAAAUAUCAGUGAUUUGGGUUUCUUCAGAAUCAUAUAAGGAUUGCAACAUGAGAAAGCCCCUAAAAUAGUCCAUGAGCUAGUUGAUGCAGUUAUUCAAGCAUAUGAAGAAAUGGAACCUUCUACUUUAAAUUAUGUUUGGUUAUCUCUACAAAAUCGUAUGACUGAUAUACUAAAAUAAGGUGGCAACAACAAUUACAAGCUCCCUCAUAUGGGGAAGAAAAGACUCGAGCGACUUGGAAAAUUACCGACUCAGAUGACAGCUCCACUAGAUGUUGUGGAGAAGGCAUUAAAUAGGAUAACCUAAUCUUUUGCACUGGACAGGACUUUUGUAACCUACUACAGUAUGUAAUUUUUGUUGUUUUGACCAACAUUAUGUAUGUUGUUUUGAUCAACACUAUGUAAUUUCCUGGAUAUGACAUAAUUUUAUGCAGACAAGCGGUUAAGACAAGUGUUACUGACCUACUGCAGUAUGUAACUUUUAUUUUCAGCUUUGAAGGUGCAAGAUCUUCUGUGGAUUUUUUAAAGUAUUUUCACUGGUGGAAUUUACAUCACCAUUAGUCUUACCCCGAAAAUCACAGUUUCUGAAAACAAAAUUGGUAUGAAUUAAGUUAGUGGAUUUUUUGAAUUAGAUUUUUUUAAGUAUUUGCACUGGUAGAAUUCUCCUUUGCAACACAUCAAACACAAACCACAUAUCACAGAAAAAUCACAAAACACGGGCAAAUCAUAUUUUUACUCAAUAAAUAAGGAAAUCAUAAACAAAUUAAAAUCUUACACGAUUUGUGGGAGUUAAAUUUGCAUCAUUCCAGUUGGGUCCUCGAACUGCAAUUUUUUCGGCUUUAAUGUGUUCUUCUUAGGUUUAACAUAUUGCAUGCUCAAUAAUCCUAUCAGGCGUAUCUUCAACUAUUUCCUUCAUAAAUUUCUCUUUAAGAUUACCCGUUUGGGUUUCAACAAAUUGGGAUAAGUUGGGAUCAUCCUCACAAAUCAAUUUUGUGAGAUUUUUACGAGGAAGGGGUGAAGAAGAGGGAGAAGGAUAAUUUUCGGAAUAAAUAUCGAGAUUUGAGGCUGAAUUGUUGAGAAGUUGAGACUCCAUUUUAAAAGAAGAUCAUGUUUUGGG
rnacentral:lncRNA from 1 species